rnacentral:rRNA from 1 species
AUUGAACGCUGGCGGCAGGCCUAACACAUGCAAGUCGAACGGUAACAGGAAGAAGCUUGCUUCUUUGCUGACGAGUGGCGGACGGGUGAGUAAUGUCUGGGAAACUGCCUGAUGGAGGGGGAUAACUACUGGAAACGGUAGCUAAUACCGCAUAACGUCGCAAGACCAAAGAGGGGGACAUUCGGGCCUCUUGCCAUCGGAUGUGCCCAGAUGGGAUUAGCUAGUAGGUGGGGUAACGGCUCACCUAGGCGACGAUCCCUAGCUGGUCUGAGAGGAUGACCAGCCACACUGGAACUGAGACACGGUCCAGACUCCUACGGGAGGCAGCAGUGGGGAAUAUUGCACAAUGGGCGCAAGCCUGAUGCAGCCAUGCCGCGUGUAUGAAGAAGGCCUUCGGGUUGUAAAGUACUUUCAGCGGGGAGGAAGGGAGUAAAGUUAAUACCUUUGCUCAUUGACGUUACCCGCAGAAGAAGCACCGGCUAACUCCGUG